rnacentral:lncRNA from 1 species
UUGGGUACAGUGGCUUAGAAAAUCAAGGAGCAACCAGCUACCUGAACUCAGCUUUGCAGGUCCUCUUUAUGACCAAAGAAUUCAGAGAGGCAGUAGAAAGGUUGCAGAUUACACCAAAUGAUGAUGAGGUACUUUACCAACUGCAACAACUAUUUGAAAAUCUAAAAGCUGAUUACAAAUGUGUUUCUACUCUCAAAAUAACCGAAAGUCUCUCAAUUGAAAAUGUUUUUGAACAUCAAGAUGCAGUGGAGUGGUUUGAGAAAAUCCUGAGUGUAGUGUCACCUGAUGCAUCACAGGUCUAUGAAGGAACCUUACUAAAAACACUGAGGUGUCUGAAGAAAGAUCAUGAUGAAUCUCACGAAGACAGCACAUUUUUAUCACUUCCAAUCACCAUUGAUGCUGGACAUGAUGAAGUAUUCCGUGUGGUAAGAGUGAUUCUCCUGCAUUCAUUUAUUUGUUCCUCAAACAUGUCACACAUUUGGACACCACUGACAGACUACUGUCGCUGUAGGUUGACGGUCUUGAAGCCUUUUUUCAAACCACAAAGUUUGUUUGACGACAACUGGCUGUACUGCGAUGACUGUGAUGAGAAAACAUACAUGGAAAUUGUGAGUCCAAAUUUCGCGGCCUAA